ACGCUGGCGGCACGCCUAACACAUGCAAGUCGAACGAAGUAGCAAUACUUAGUGGCAGACGGGUGAGUAACAUGUGGGUAUCUGCCCUUUGGCCUGGAAUAACACGAGGAAACUUGUGCUAAUACCGGAUAAGUCUUUACAGAGAAAGCUUUAUGCACCAUUGGAUGAGCCCGCACUUGAUUAGUUUGUUGGUAGGGUAAUGGCCUACCAAGACUGUGAUCAAUAGCUGAUUUGAGAGGAUGAUCAGCCACAUUGGGACUGAGACACGGCCCAAACUCCUACGGGAGGCAGCAGUGGGGAAUCUUGCACAAUGGAGGAAACUCUGAUGCAGCGAUGCCGCGUGAGUGAAGAAGGCCUUUGGGUUGUAAAGCUCUUUCGUCGGGGAAGAAAAUGACUGUACCCGAAUAAGAAGGUCCGGCUAACUUCGUGCCAGCAGCCGCGGUAAUACGAAGGGACCUAGCGUAGUUCGGAAUUACUGGGCUUAAAGAGUUCGUAGGUGGUUGAAAAAGUUGGUGGUGAAAUCCCAGAGCUUAACUCUGGAACUGCCAUCAAAACUUUUCAGCUAGAGUUUGAUAGAGGAAAGCAGAAUUUCUAGUGUAGAGGUGAAAUUCGUAGAUAUUAGAAAGAAUACCAAUUGCGAAGGCAGCUUUCUGGAUCAUUACUGACACUGAGGAACGAAAGCAUGGGUAGCGAAGAGGAUUAGAUACCCUCGUAGUCCAUGCCGUAAACGAUGUGUGUUAGACGUUGGAAAUUUAUUUUCAGUGUCGCAGCGAAAGCGAUAAACACACCGCCUGGGGAGUACGACC
rnacentral:rRNA from 1 species